GGCUCUGUGGCUAAGUGGUAGAGUGCUAGCCUUGAACACAAAGAAGCUCAAGGACAGUGCCAGAACCUGAGUUCAAAUCUCUGAGCCA
rnacentral:tRNA from 1 species